rnacentral:lncRNA from 1 species
GUACCUGAAAAAGUCAAAACAAUCAGCAAACAGUUCAAAAGUUUUAAAUCACAAGGAAUUGGUAAACAGUCAACACAGAUGGUCAACUGUGCAAGGCAUAAGACUCAAACACAUGAGUCAAACCUACAAAACAAAGGUUAGCAUAUGAUAAAACAAUCAAGUCCAAACAAGUUUGAAUGAUCUUUGAGGCAUUGGUGCUUAACCUGAAACAGGAACUCAAUUGUAAGCUCAAAAGACCACUAGGACUAGCCUAGGGUCAAGGAUGAAAGAAAAAAG